CAGUCGAGAAUCUUCGGCAAUGGGCGAAAGCCUGACCGAGCAAUGCCGCGUGCGGGAUGAAGGCCCUCGGGUUGUAAACCGCGAAAGUGAGGAGGAAGGCCCUGCGAAGAGCAGGUUUUGACCGAUCCACAGUAAGGACGGGCUAAGUUCGUGCCAGCAGCCGCGGUAACACGAACCGUCCAAACGUUAUUCGGAAUUAUUGGGCUUAAAGGGUGCGUAGGCGGCGCUUUAAGUCGGGUGUGAAAUCCUUCGGCUCAACCGAAGAAUUGCGCCCGAUACUGGAGUGCUAGAGGGAGACAGGGGUGAGCGGAACUGAUGGUGGAGCGGUGAAAUGCGUUGAUAUCAUCAGGAACACCGGUGGCGAAAGCGGCUCACUGGGUCUCUUCUGACGCUGAGGCACGAAAGCCAGGGUAGCGAACGGGAUUAGA
rnacentral:rRNA from 1 species